rnacentral:misc_RNA from 1 species
AAGUCGUAACAAGGUGUCCGUAGGUGAACCUGCGGAAGGAUCAUUAACACGUAUCCAAACGUUAAAAUCUCCCCCGUGAAGCUUCAUCCCGCUCUUGUAACCCGCGUAGUUCGCAAUCUCUGGUAAAUCAUAGCCCGGAAAGUAGUUUUGAUUCAGAGACCUCUGGCCCGUGCGAAAUCACAACAGUUACAAUUCGAGCGGUAGUUCUAUAGGCCUUGUUUCCCCAAGCAGUCAGUGUCUGAAAGUGUCAGUGAUUGUGCAAGGAUAACGCUUCACGAUUCUUGUAGACCGCAUCUCGCGGGCAGGAGCUAGGCCAAAGGGUCCCCAUGCCCCCUUACAACCCCACAGUUAAAUGUGAAGCUCAAUGUAAUACAUUGGGUAAAAAACCGAACAACUGUUAACAAUGGAUAUCUUGGUUCUC